ACAUUCCGUGACUUCCGGGCACUUCGUAAGGUUUAAAUAAGGUUGCUUUGCGGUAGCUCGGCCUCUUGGGGACAGUCUCAACCGUCGGCUCUUCGGCUCGGAUUCGUUAAGUAUUCCAAGUAACACUUGGAAAGAAGAGGAUCUGCACUGCAUUGGGCAUUGACAUUGAACUUUUGGGUCCUUUAUAUAGAAGGGAGAGUAGGUAAA